CAUGCGACGCCGACCGUACAGCGUUCUCUCUUCUUCCCAUCGAUUGUAACUGUCACAGUAAAGGCUUCGUGAUCAAUCAUCUCUGUCCUCAAGAGUCACGAAUCUAGAUCUAUAAAUAAGGAUCUUCGAUUCUGUGAAAUAUAUUCAGACUUUUGGCGUACUCAUAUCUUCUCUCGCCGACUUCAAAUCGAUGUUUUUCUAACAUCGUCAAAGUCCAGAUGCUAAGAAUCCGGGAAGCACAUAAGAAGAAGUGUCAAUGUAAUUUGUCAGUGGGUUUGACGGGUUACAGCACUGAGAGCCUGAAGAUUUAGACGGUAAAUUCAAACGAUGCAGAUGGAGUGACUGAGAUGAAAUUAGAAUCGCUGAAGCCUGAGGGAUAACUUUUCCUUGGUGAUACAGAGGAAUAAGGGUAUCAUGCGAAAGGACCAUCAAAAGUUCUCAAGAAAGUUAAGGAAAAGGUAAAAGAAGAUGAAGAAUGUUCUUACUAAACAUCGACAUGGUCGUGAGCAUGAUCGUAGAGAACAACACAUCCCCGACGAUCACGAUCUUGACGAGGAAGAUGCUGAACAUGAUGAAAAGCUCAUCACAUUCAGGAGAUAGUUCCUCCAGGCACAAAGGCUUUUCCUGCCGUGGCUACUUCCCCCACUAAAGUCUCUGAGCCAAUCAAAGCAGGGAAACCAGUACGAGGCCCCAAUACCUCUCACGGACACGAAGCUCUGCCUCAUCAUGCAAGACCCUUAGGUGUGUCGGAAAAAUAAGAAAAAGAAGUGUUCCUAAAAUGACGACGUAUAACAUGCCCGUGUCUUCGCUCACUCUGACAGAAGAUGCCACUAGAACGUUUGUUCUUGGUGAAUAACUUAGACUAUGAACAAUUUAGAGUCAACAUCGAGAGAUACAGAGGAUUGUAGGAAGGGACGGCUGCUCAGGUCUUGGUGGGAUGUCGAAUUAUCAGUCCAACGUCAUGUUUGCCACCGGAAAAACUGGUGGAGAAGUUGGAAGAGCACAGCUCUUGCGCGGAGGAAAGGAAAAUGUGAUGAUAUUCAACUAAGCUCCUGGAAGAGAUAGGGAUAUAGUACAAGAAGAAUGAAGCGAGUGCUUUUUUUACCUGAGUGGCUUUUGUUUUCAAGAUAAAAAGUAUUUUAUCCAUCUGAUUUUUUUUUAGUUUUUGAAACGUAGGCGCCGUCAUUAUUGGUGGAAAGUGAAAGACCGCAAACAAUGCAAACGACUUCUAAUGGCAACCGUUCGGAUUGGAAAGUGUGUUUCACCGUCAAAUAAACACCAGUUAUUGACUUGCAUAGAGCUUGAGGCUGAGAUGAAAAGGUCAAAGCUUGAAUUCAGGCAAACCAUGGACAUGUAUGUUUAGCUUCCAAAGAAGCAUUAAGAGGUGGAAAUAUAGGUGUGAAGGAGAGGUAGUUGGUGAUGACUAAGCUCAUCUUACUUCAUCUAAUACUUUUAAGUUGAAGUAGUUGUCGAAUUUAAAUAUAUGUGUGAAGGAAAAUAGUUGAUGAUGACUAAAGUCAGGCAAACCAUGGACAUGUAUGGCCUAGCUUCCUAGACACGUUUUCUAGGAUUAAGUAUAAUGUUGUUACAGUUGUUUAUCGAGUGAGCAAACCAAA